rnacentral:rRNA from 1 species
CCUAAGACAUGCAAGUCGUACGAAGGGGCCAAUGAAAGAAUUGAAGUUUGAGUGCUUGCACUGAGAAUGGAUUGAAUUGGAUUUGGAUUUUCCCCUUAGUGGCAAACGGUGAGUAACACGUGGGUUACCUGCCUCCAAGAUGGGGAUAACAGUUGGAAACGACUGAUAAUACCGAAUGUGCUCUACGGAGUAAAGAAGCCUUUAAAGCUUCACUUGGAGAUGGGCCUGCGGCGUAUUAGCUAGUUGGUGGGGUAAUGGCCUACCAAGGCAACGAUGCGUAGCCGAACUGAGAGGUUGAUCGGCCACACUGGGACUGAGACACGGCCCAGACUCCUACGGGAGACAGCAGUUAGGAAUAUUCGUCAAUGGGGGAAACCCUGAACGAGCAAUGCCGCGUGAACGAUGACGGCCCUAUGGGUUGUAAAGUUCUGUUGUUUGGAAAGAACGAUAUAUAGAGGAAAUGCUAUAUAUGUGACGGUACCAUUCAAGAAAGCCACGGCUAACUACGUG